rnacentral:rRNA from 1 species
GGCGAUGAAGGACGUGCUAAUCUGCGAUAAGCGUCGGUGAGGUGAUAUGAACCGUUAUAACCGGCGAUUUCCGAAUGGGGAAACCCAGUGUGUUUCGACACACUAUCAUUAACUGAAUCCAUAGGUUAAUGAGGCGAACCGGGGGAACUGAAACAUCUAAGUACCCGAGGAAAAGAAAUCAACCGAGAUUCCCCCAGUAGCGGCGAGCGAACGGGGAGGAGNCCAGAGCCUGAAUCAGUGUGUGUGUUAGUGGAAGCGUCUGGAAAGGCGCGCGAUACAGGGUGACAGCCCCGUACACAAAAAUGCACAUACUGUGAGCUCGAUGAGUAGGGCGGGACACGUGUAUCCUGUCUGAAUAUGGGGGGACCAUCCUCCAAGAAAUACUCCUGACUGACCGAUAGUGAACCAGUACCGUGAGGGAAAGGCGAAAAGAACCCCGGCGAGGGAGUGAAAAAGAACCUGAAACCGUGUACGUACAAGCAGUGGGAGCCUCUUAAUGGGGUGACUG